GACGAACGCUGGCGGCGUGCUUAACACAUGCAAGUCGAACGGAAAGGCCUGCUUUCCCUUGUGGAUUGCGGGUACUCGAGUGGCGAACGGGUGAGUAACACGUGAGUGAUCUGCCCCCAACUUGGGUAUAAGCCUGGGAAACUGGGUCUAAUUCCCGAUAGGACUGCAGGGUGGUGCCUGUGGUGGAAAACGAUUUUCUAGUGGUUGGGGAUGAGCUCGCGGCCUAUCAGCUUGUUGGUGGGGUAAUGGCCUACCAAGGCGGCGACGGGUAGCCGGCCUGAGAGGAGGGACGGUGGCAUUGGGACUGGGAUACGGCCCAGACUGCUACGGGAGGCAGGAGUGGGGAAUAAUGGACAAUGGGCGGAAGCCUGAUGCAGCGACGCCGCGUGGGGGAUGACGGCCUUCGGGUGGUAAACUCCUUUGGACCGCGAGGAAGCCACCUGGUUGGAAGGGUGGUGACGGUAGUGGUAGAAGAAGCACCGGCUAACUACGUG
rnacentral:rRNA from 1 species